CAGAUGAUGCCCUCACACCUGCCCCUGCCCUCCCGGACAGCUGGCCGCCUGCCCUGGGCUCUGCUCUCCUGCCUUCGGUCUCCCCGCUCCAGGCUUACAAGGGCAAGGACUGCCCACCCUGCGGCCCAGGAACCCCUGGAGGCACCUUGUCUCCAAGCACAGAACAAUGAGCAGACAGCGCAGAUGCCCCAGGUGCAGCCUCCCCGCUGGCAACACCCCCAGGGGGGCAGCUGUUCCAGGUGGUGCACCUCCACAGCCACGUCACCACCAGAGCCCAUUUCCACUGGGGUCACCUCGUGCUGCACCUCUUGUGGGCCUGGAAAAAUCUGCCCCUACAGCGUCACACAGCGCGGCCUCCUGCCCUGAACACCCUCCGGCUCUGCCUGCUCACGCCCCACCUCCUGCUCCCCAGGCCCCAGGUGAGCUCCCACUGAUUCCUGCCUUAAAGAUGGGGACACUGAGGUUGCAAGGGAAGUCAUCCACACCAGAGGCUGCUGGGAAACCACCAGGGCUGGGGCAGCUGAGAGGGUCCUGACAGAGCAGGUGAGGGUUGCUGCGUGUCCUGGUGCUGAAGCCACUCUCUGGACCUUGAGCCAGGACCAGGCCCGCUGGGCGAGGAUGCUGACCAGGUGUUGUCCCCUGCUCACUGGCUGCUGUUUAUAGGCAAGGUGCCAAGGAGCUGCCAGGGGAAUCCAGAAGGGGAAUGAUUUAUGCACGUGGCAUCGGGGCCUGCAAUUCCCCCAGACUAGCAAUAGCUUAAGGGAUUUGGUCUGACUGGCUAUAGGAAGGUCCCGGGCCCGCUGCGGAGUCUUCAGGGACUUGGCCCUCGCGUGACCUUCUCCCCUGCCCGGCACCCCACCCAGCACUGUCCCCAGCCUCCUGCAGGGCAGCUCAGCUUCUUUGCAGGAGUAGCUCCAGGGCUGCCUCCUGCCAAGUGCUGUGGGCUGUCACCCUGGGCUGUGGUGGUCCUGAUGCCCAGGAGAGUGUCUGGCUCAAGGCACUGAGAUGGCUUCCCUCCCAUGCUACUUCCUGGCUGUCUGAAGGGUGGCACUCACCCCAGAGUGUCUGGGGAGCUGGAAGGCCCCUUGCACAGCCCUCCUGCCUUAAAGAUGGGGACACUGAGGUUGCAAGGGAAGACACAGCCAGGGCAACAUCCGGCCUGACCCUGGGACCAGAGUCCCCCCCAACUUUGGGCUGUUACAUGCACUGUCAUGGACCACUGGUGCCCUCCAGCCAUGAGCAGGGCCAGCCCAUAGGGCCAUGCUUCCAACUCUCCCACGUCCAAUUGCCAACAGGGUGUUGUUGAGCUCCGACUGCCAGAGGGACAUGGCUGAGCCCUCAGCUUGCUUGCAGAUAGUGGUGAGAUACAUUCCUCAUGUCCAUCUCCUCCUCGCGCCACUUGGCUCCAGCAGGCAAGGAAAGUACAGCUCUUUGAUGCUGUGUACCAACACCGACACCUCAGGCUUCAGGGCCUUUGCACAUGCUGUUCCUUGGCAUAAAAAGCAUCUCAUUCUCCAUCCCUCACCUUAGCCAUCCCCUUCUCCAGAGAGCCCUCUCCACACUCAGUCCUUAUGGUCUGGGUUGUUUUGACACAUCUCCCUGCUCCCACAGGGGUGUGGGACCCAGGAAUGGCCAGUGCCAAUAGGAAGGGUCCUGUGCAGCUGUAGGUCCGGCAAUGGCCCCACUCUGGACCAAUCAGCAUCAAUGCACUUUGGCUGUCCCUAGAUCCAGCCAUGCCUGAAGAUGUGAACUUCCCAUUUAAGAUGUGAACUUCCCAUUUAUAGA